GCAUUGGUGGUUCAGUGGUAAAAUUCUUACCUUCCAUGCAGAGGACCUGGGUUCAGUUCCCAGCCAAUGCA
rnacentral:tRNA from 1 species